UUGUAGUAUUAAUUUUUUUCUUUUGGUAGUGAAACACAAAUCCAACUUUGCUCAAUGCAAAUUCUUUUUUUAUGAUGUGAAUUUGAUUUCUUAACAAUUUGAGUUCAUAAUCUGAGUAUUUUCUUACUAACCUAGACGGUUUUUGUAGUCAAAUUGCGGGUUGUUUUUUGUGAACCAUUUUUGAUUCAACUUAAAUGCGUUUUCCUAAAUAAUAUUAUUAAAAAACCUCCAUUGAAACCCUUUCAUUCUAAACGCGAAAAUCCUAUUUUAUUGGUGUUUUGUACAUUAUUAUUACAAGCACACGAUAACAAAGAAACGAACUGCAGGUUUAAAUGUAAAUCAUGUGAAAAUACAAAAAUCAUUUGGUACG